rnacentral:rRNA from 1 species
GCCUUUGCCGCCCGGUCCGCCUAUUUGGGUGUGUACUGGAGCGGUGGAGGCUUACCUCGUGGUGAACGGUCAUGCCCUUUACUGGGUGUGGUCGGGAACCAUGACUUUUACUGUGAAAAAAUUAGAGUGUUUAAAGCAGGCUUACGCUUGAAUACAUUAGCAUGGAAUAAUAGAAUAGGA